CCUUGGCUCAGUUCUUACAAGCAGCUAUUCCUGUCACAGGAAUGUAACCAAGGGUGAACAUGACAAAGGAGACAUCUAACAUUCCUGUUUUUUAGCAAAGAGGCUGCUCCCCAUUUGCUCAUCAGUGAAGAGGAAUUCUACCAAAUUCACAAAAGAAGCCUAGGUGACCUGGCCUCUGGCAGGCUGAAACCAAUACACAGUUUCUUGAACAUGAAUACCUACAACAAAAAAUACAACCCACAAAUUCACAGAAAUAGCGGUAUCUCAACUACUGUGGAACAACAAUUAAAAACUUCACUUCACGGACUGCAUGGAAACAAUCUUUUACAAAAGAAUUUGAAAACUUUUGCUUGGAAACCAAAACACAAAGUCAUGGAGCCCAUGGAAUGCAACACAUCACAAAACUGAGAAGGUUUAUAAAAACUGUCACAAGAGCUCUAAAGACUAAAACGUGAACUUCCUACAGUAACGAGUGAUGACAACAUCGUUUUCAUCUGCUAGGACUCGAAGAGAGCUCUGCAGGUCAGAUGAUAACACAAAGAACACUGCAAUGGACAAAGCUUCAUCGGUUUAUCGCAAUACUAAAUGGAUCUCUUUGGAAUAGUGAGGAUAGUGUAUAAACCUGCAAGAGGUCAUGGUACAUUUCAGAUUUUAGGAAGGAAAAAACAGCUAUAUCACUUCUAGGGGAAAAAUGUUUAAAAGGACAUGAAGGUUGGCAGAGAGGUUGCUCUAUGAACUAUAGGAUACUGGGCUUAUUUCUAAAAUCCUCAUGGCUGUAAACAUAAUAGAGGUAAUAUGCUCUGCUCAUGAGAGGUGCUGAUACACAAUCCAGAAAUGCCCACCAGGCCAGUGUCCAAAGCAGGGGGGUUCAGGGAGACUGUGAACUUUCUUGUACUAUCAUAAGAAAAUUCACUACAAAGAAAACCACAAAAUCCUGUAUUUCUCAUCAUUAGAGCAGCUCAGGCAGGACAUUAUGACAUAAUUUUAUGACAUUUUGUCAAAAUAUGCUGUUUUGUCACAGCCAAAACGUUUCAAUUAGAUGACAUUUUUAAUCAAGAAGGUUUUUGCAGUCCAGGGCUCUCUGGUCAUCUCUGAGCAGAAGGAAGUAGGCAGGGAGAGGGAGCUGAAUCAAAAACCUGAGCUUUCUGAUUUGAAAACAGUAGUUUCAACAAGUUUGUUUUGCAAAAACAUUCAAAAGAUUCGGUUUUCAUUCCAAAUUUUUGAACCCUCAAAAAGUAGUCACAAAAUGGACUUGCCAUCCUCCAGACAGCUCUACUCAUCAUACCUAAAACCACAUAAGACUUAGUGAAUUGAGUGGAAGCUAUGGGUUGGGCUGAAUUUUGCUGUCUGUUUUUUGGACUUGUUACAGGGCUACAAAUGAAGCAAACAUGUAGCCUCCAAGUAUUUAAUUUCUUGAAAGGGAGUAGGUUUUAAUUUAAAGCUUUUUUAACCACCCUGUGGCUGUGAAAAGCAAGGGUGGUGACAAGAAAGAAUUUACAGGACUUUGUGAAUCACACAAAGUCUCAUGAAA